AGGGCACCUAGAUUGACUCCAUAGCUUAGCUAUUGCGAAUUGAGCUGCUAUAAACAUUGAUACUUUCAACUAUAUGUAUCUGACAAGAGGUUAAUGUCCAAAAUAUAUAUGGAGCACAAACAAUAUAAGAGCAAGAAAACAAUUAAAAUGGGAAAUGAACUUUAAUAGACAUUUCCCCAUGAAGGCAUACAAAUGACCAACAGGAAUAUUAAGAAGGUACUCAGAAGCACUAAUCAUCAUACCUGUUAAGAUGACUGUUAUCAAAGUGAGGAAAGACAAGUGCUGGUGAGCAUGUAUAAAUAAGGAAACCUUCAUGCACUGUUCAUUGGAAUGUAAAUUGGUACAGCCAUCAUGAAAGUUCCUAAAAAAAGUUAAAAAUAAAACUACCAUAGGAUCCAGCAACCUCAUCUCUGGGUAUAUAUCCAAAGGAAAUGAAAUUAGUAUUUCCAAGAGAUAUAUGCACCCCAAGUUCAUUAUAGUAUUAUUCACAAUAGCUAAGACAUAGAAACAACAUGUCUAUUGAUGGAUUAAUGAAUUAAAAUGUGGAAAUGUGAUAUAUAUAUUUAUGCACACAUACAUAUAUAUAUAAAGGAAUAUUAUUCAGUCAUAUGAAGAAGGAAAUUUUGCCAUUUGCAAUAACAUCAAUAAACCAGCAUGGCAUUGUGGUAAGUAGAGUAAGCGAGACACAGAGAGAAAAAUUUUGUAUGUUAUAAUUUAUAUGUGAACUCUCUUAGAAAACAGCAGAACUCAGAAAGAGUAAAUGGUGAUUGCCAGAGUCUGAGAGGAGGAUGGGGCAAGGUUUCCAAAAAGGUACAAACUUUUAGUUAUAAAAUGAAUAAGUUCUGAAAAAUAUAAUGUAUGGUAUUGUAUGUACAGCAAAUAACUAAUAGCACUCUAUUAUAUACUUGAAAUUUGCUAAGAGAGUAAUCUUAAGUGUUUGCACACAGAAAAUACAAAGAACCAAUAACAAAAAUAACAGGGGAUGGAUUAACUUGAUUGUGAUUAUCAUUGCACCACAUGUAUGUGUAUCAUCACAUUGUACAUUCUAAAUAUAUACAACGUAUCUUUGAAUUAUACUUCAAUACUGCUGAAAUAAACAAUGGCUGUCUUCAAUGUUCACAUUGCUAAUGCAAUUGAGAGGUGGUAGCAAGCUCAUUCCUUCAUUCCUUCACACCAUUCUAUAAUAUUCCAGAAUGGCAUUUUCUUUCACACUCUGAGUGGAAGAAAACUUUGUACAGCAAAGGACAAAUGACCAACCCAAGGUGUUGUGGUUACUGUGAUGUUAGGCAGAUGUUUCUAAUGCCUUAAUCUGCCAAAGUUUAUCUUGCUGGGGAUUCAAUGAUAUAGUCCCCCCCAAAGAUUAAGCUAUGAAAUUAAAAUUAGCUUGAAUAAGGAGGUACAUUAGAAAAGUUAAAGGGUGAUUCUUAUGGUUUGGAUCGUGAAUAUCUUCCUAAAGAUUGUGUGUUGAAGGCUUGGUCCCCAAAGCAACUGUGUUCAGAAGUUGGGGUUUUGGGAAGUGAUUGGAUCAUAAGGGCUAUGAUGGCAUGAGUGAAUUCAUCCACUUAUUUAGGUAUAGUUUAAUGUGUUUAGGGGAGAGGCUUUAUUAUAAAAAUGACCUCUCUCUCUUUGCUUCCUGGCCAGCAUGAAGUGAGCAGCUAUCCUUCAUGACAUGCUUCUGCCAUGAUGUACUGCCUCACCGUCAAAAGACUCAGAUGAAAGACUGUGUGGGGCUGAGAUACAAGCGAAUGUAUAGUUUAUUCCUGAAAGAAAACCAGAAGCCAGCAAAAGGAUCUCACUCCAGAUGGAGCUGGAUGCUGAGUAAAGGAUGAUGCGAUCCUUGGAGUGCUUGGAUUCUUAAAGGAAGGAAGGAGGAGUUUCAGACACACUCUCAUUUAGACCUUUGCUAGGUCAUGGUGAGAGAAUACUUGCCUUGACUUUGUGCCUGUCUUGUUUCUAGAACAGUGACUCCUUCCACUUAAUCUUUCCAUUGUACUAUGGUACUGUGUCUGAACCAUCAUCUUUGAAUUGGCAGGAAGUUGCUUUUUCAUAUACCACCUCAUCCUCCAGUCACAGGGCACUGGGAGAGAAUCAGUCCUGAAUGGUUGGCCGAGAAGACAAUAGGGCAGUGACAACAGUUCAUCUAAGCCCAUUACCAAUGGUGCACAUUUGUAUUACAUUAUUGUGUCUAGCUUUCACCUCACAGCAGUAAACAGCUUCCUUUGCUGAGGUUCUAACCCAUAUUUGCUAUAGGUUAGCAACAGGGAGGAAUGUUCAAAAUCAGCACACGAUCCCAAGGUUUUAGUAUUUCUGCCAUUACCAAUAAAGUUUGAUCAUGCUAUACUCGAGUGCCUGUUUAUGAUAUAGGUUCCUAUUCUAUCCAACAGAAAUCAGUAAUUUUCGGAUUUCUCCAAGAUGGACCUUCAAAGGUUCAUU